GAACAAAAACCAGCUUUUUUUCCCUCCAUUUUUCAUGCCCAUGUGUUGUACAUUUCACUGCUCUGCUACCACAAGCCAACAGCGAUCAGACGAAAAAGUUCAAGAACAAGUCGCCAACUUUCACAAGAGCCAUAAAGAGUAGAAAGUUUCCAUCCUCUCAGCUCUGGUUUCAGAGGAAAAGACGAAAACACUUUCUAUUUUUGCUUCACAGCAACACAGAAAUGUUAAGGUGGAACUGUGAUACUGCAUCAAAACAAAAAAGGUGGAGGCGUCAGACUGGAGCGGAGCAGGGAGACUGUGGCUUGUGGCAUAUUUUCUACGUCACAUAUACAAUUUGUUCCAAACAGAAUGUUUUUCAUAUGUUCUCCAUUCAAAGUGAUUUGAAUAAAGAGAUACUCAGA